UACAUGCAAGUCGAACGAAGUAGCAAUACUUAGUGGCAGACGGGUGAGUAACAUGUGGGUAUCUUCCCUUUGGUGAGGAAUAACACGAGGAAACUUGUGCUAAUACCUCAUAAGUCUUUACGGAGAAAGCUUUAUGCGCCGAUGGAUGAGCCCGCACUUGAUUAGUUUGUUGGUGGGGUAAUGGCCUACCAAGACUGUGAUCAAUAGCUGAUCUGAGAGGAUGAUCAGCCACAUUGGGACUGAGACACGGCCCAAACUCCUACGGGAGGCAGCAGUAGGGAAUAUUGCACAAUGGAGGAAACUCUGAUGCAGCGAUGCCGCGUGAGUGAAGAAGGCCCUUGGGUUGUAAAGCUCUUUCGUCGGGGAAGAAAAUGACUGUACCCGAAUAAGAAGGUCCGGCUAACUUCGUGCCAGCAGCCGCGGUAAUACGAAGGGACCUAGCGUAGUUCGGAAUUACUGGGCUUAAAGAGUUCGUAGGUGGUUAAAAAAGUUGGUUGUGAAAUCCCGGAGCUUAACUCCGGAACUGCAAUCAAAACUUUUUAGCUAGAGUAUGAUAGAGGAAAGCAGAAUUUCUAGUGUAGAGGUGAAAUUCGUAGAUAUUAGAAAGAAUACCAAUUGCGAAGGCAGCUUUCUGGAUCAUUACUGACACUGAGGAACGAAAGCAUGGGUAGCGAAGAGGAUUAGAUACCCUCGUAGUCCAUGCCGUAAACGAUGUGUGUUAGACGUUGGAAAUUUAUUUUUAGUGUCGCAGCGAAAGCAAUAAACACACCGCCUGGGGAGUACGA
rnacentral:rRNA from 1 species